CUUCGAGCGCGCACUAGCGCACGCAGGAGACGUGUCGCACGUAAAGGGUUGGAGCGCAAUGACGUCGCCGCUGCGGAUUGGCGGAGCGGGUUUGCAGGGGGAAGGCGGAGCCUAAGGAGCCCUAGGCUGGCUCUGCGGCGGAAUUGCAGCGCUGGUGUCAGGAAGCCUGUUGAAACUGCGUAAGCGGUAAUCUGCAUUGCUGCGAGGAACUGGGGUGUACCGGGCCAGUGGCGCAAUGGAUAACGCGUCUGACUACGGAUCAGAAGAUUCUAGGUGCCUAGCUCGGAGACCUGGGAAAGCCCGAAACGUCUGCGGUGGAGAGGGGACUCGAAGCCCGGGAGUGGCCGAGGCAUCCAACACUGUCCAUUAACCAGUCACACUCAUCGAUUAAUCUGUCCAAUAUAACGUGUUUUCCUCCUGAGGAAAUAUAGAAAAUUUGUAAACUACCGAAAAUUAUUGGGAAUAAAAACAAUGCCAGUUCUCA